rnacentral:rRNA from 1 species
UGAGUAACCUGCCCCCGAGAGCGGGAUAGCCCUGGGAAACUGGGAUUAAUACCGCAUAGUAUCGAAAGAUUAAAGCAGCAAUGCGCUUGGGGAUGGGCUCGCGGCCUAUUAGUUAGUUGGUGAGGUAACGGCUCACCAAGGCGAUGACGGGUAGCCGGUCUGAGAGGAUGUCCGGCCACACUGGAACUGAGACACGGUCCAGACACCUACGGGUGGCAGCAGUCGAGAAUCAUUCACAAUGGGGGAAACCCUGAUGGUGCGACGCCGCGUGGGGGAAUGAAGGUCUUCGGAUUGUAAACCCCUGUCAUGUGGGAGCAAAUUAAAAAGAUAGUACCACAAGAGGAAGAGACGGCUAACUCUGUGCCAGCAGCCGCGGUAAUACAGAGGUCUCAAGCGUUGUUCGGAAUCACUGGGCGUAAAGCGUGCGUAGGCUGUUUCGUAAGUCGUGUGUGAAAGGCGCGGGCUCAACCCGCGGACGGCACAUGAUACUGCGAGACUAGAGUAAUGGAGGGGGAACCGGAAUUCUCGGUGU